rnacentral:tRNA from 1 species
GCCUGGGUGGCUCAGUCGGUUAAGCGUCUGACUUCGGCUCAGGUCAUGAUCCCCAGUCUGUGGGUUUGAGCCCCGCGUCGGGCU